rnacentral:rRNA from 1 species
AUGCGUCAGUGGACUCUGCUGAUUAAGCAAUGGAGGAAGAGAGCCGCCACCUCUCCGGCGGCUACCAAUACAAUGGGCGGGAAGAAAUUCAAAGCUGGUCCAAGCCUCAGGGCUCCUCCAAAGUUACCAUAUGAGAGGACUGACAAGGAAAACAAGGACAUCAUGGAUGCCAAAGUGCAGGCCCAUUUUGAACGGAAACGUCCACCUCCAAAGGAAAUAAUAGAUCUGGUGAAAAUGAAGCGCACUCUGGAAGCCCUUCAGCGACCACCACCGCCUCCACCGCAAUCACACUAUGACCAUUGUAUUCGAAAGACAUAUGAGGAAGUGCGGUGGUCGGGAAGUACUACCGGUGCAAGACAAAGUUGGAAAACAAUUCCACAACUCGGCGAACAGGAGAAGCAAUGGUGCCCCCCCCCUCCGCUCAAGGUGUGUAGCGAUAUUGCUAAUCCUCUAGGGCUAGCACCCGGUACCACUCUUGGUGAUUACAUGGGCGAUGAUGUAUAG